AUUCAAACAAGGAAGGGCUUACGGUGGAUACCUAGGCACCCAGAGAUGAGGAAGGGCGUGGUAAGCGACAAAAUGCUUUGGGGAGUUGAAAAUGAGCAUAUAUCCGGAGAUUCCCGAAUAGGUUAACCUUCUUAACUGCUGCUGAAUCCAUGGGCAGGCAAGAGACAACCUGGCGAACUGAAACAUCUUAGUAGCCAGAGGAAUAGAAAGCAAAAUAGAUUCCCAUAGUAGCGGCGAGUGAAAUGGGAGCAGCCUAAACCGUGAAAAGGGGGUUGUGGGAGAGCACAAUAUAAGCUCUGUGAUGCUAGGUAAAGUGGUUGAGUCCUGCACCCUAGAUGGUGAGAGUCCAGUAGCCAAAAGAAUCAUUGGGUUACGCUCUAACCUAAGUAGCAUGGGGAACAUGGAAUCCCAUGUGAAUCAGCAAGGACCACCUUGCAAGGCUAAAUACUCCUGGGUGACUGAUAGCGAAGUAGUACCGUGAGGGAAAGGUGAAAAGAACCCCCAUCAGGGAGUGAAAUAGAACAUGAAACCAUAAGCUCCCAAGCAGUGGGAGGAAAAUGAUGUCUCUGACCGCGUUCCUAUUGAAGAAUGAGCCGACGACUUAUAGGUAGUGGCUUGGUUAAGGGAAACCACCGGAGCCAUAGCGAGAGUGAGUCUUCAUGGGGAAAUUGUCACUGCUUAUGGACCCGAACCUAGGUGAUCUAUCCAUGACCAGGAUGAAGCUUGGGUGAAACUUAGUGGAGGCUUGAACCGACUGAUGUUGAAAAAUCAGCGGAUGAGUCAUGGUUAGGGGUGAAAUGCCACUUGAACCCAGAGCUAGCUGGUUCUCCCCGAAAUGCAUUGAGGCACAGCAGUUGACUGGACCAUCUAGGGGUAAAGCACUGUUUCGGUACGGGCCACGAGAGUGGUACCAAAUCGAGGCAAAAUCUGAAUACUAGAUUGCCCCAAUAAAAGGGGUAAAGGUCAUCCAAUGAGACGAUGGGGGAUAAGCUUCAUCGUCGAGAGGGAAAUAGCCCAGAUCAUCAGCUAAGGCCCCUAAAUGACUGCUCAGUGAUGA
rnacentral:ncRNA from 1 species